GAGUUGCCUCCAUCAUUUCUUGAAGAGAAAAGACGAGCGCGUAUACCGCCAUGGCGCGAUGUUUGCGUUUCUGCAGCGACGGGAUCGAAACUUUUUAUUCCAAUAUUUGUAUUUCGAUCGCCUGGCUACGAAUGGAACGUUGCGAGACCUUGAAAAAAAAUAUGAUUUACACUGGGCUCUCGCAACUUCGGAACUAAAGUCUGCGCCACUUUUUCCAUCACCACCUUUAAAGGCGACAGAUCUUUUCAAGUGAUGUCAUUGCUAAAUCCCUAUUAAUCCGUAGAAUGUCCCCAUUAAUAUAUAUUAUCUUGUAUGUUGCUCAGUGUUUCAAGUCAUAAUUUCAAAUUAUAAUUUUCAAGUAAUUUAAGUUUACAAGAUUUUAAAAUACAAUUGAUUUGAUCGAUAAGAGUACGUUAUUUUUUCAUCAAAUUUUACACGUGGAUUUUUUCACGGAAUUUAAAUUUUUAAUCGUGUGUUCUUUUAUCGAAAUAUUCAACGAUGCAAAUAAAGAAGUUAUUAAAAAAAUUAUGCAUUCUAAAUUCUCUUAAGAAAAUAUUUCACGCGUAAAUAUUUCGAAUUUGUCAAAAUAUGCCUUUUAAAGAGAAUUUCUUUCGGUUGUCAUAUCGAAUCUUGAAACUUUUGAAUUAUUUGAAAUAAACAAAAAAAUCGCUAAUUGCCAUAAUUUCCUGAUUUCUGUGACAUAUUCAUGAAGUUUAUUUCUUUUUUGCAAAAUAAACUUUCCCAAUAUUCCGAAUAAAUCGAUCGAUAAUGGAGCAAAGAGCCGACGGCGCGGUGCGAGAGGGCCAAUAAUUAACGUGCACGACAAACAGUAUUAUCGUCAUUGCCUGAUAUUAUUCCCAUUAUCUUAUAUGUACGACGGCUAUGUGCUUAAUGAUUAAUAAAAUAUUAUCUGCGCUCUCGGGGGAUAUCGCUCUUCCUGGCGAUGGAUAGUUUCGUGCCAGACAUCGCAAGGAGCACCGAUGUCGAACGCGUCGCGCCAAUCUGCAUUCGCAACAGGUGACAAUGAGACUUUAAUCUGGAUCGAUGAAUCGUGUUUGUGUGAAGAUCGAACGCGAUCGAGAAGAAAAAUACGUGCGCGAUGAAAAAUUAUUUUGUUCUUAUAAAGGAUAUGUAUGUGCCGGCGUAGACGCGAUUGAUAGUGAUUUCCAAAUCAGCUGUGACAUGUAAUUGAUGAUAAAUUGAAGAAAGCUCUUGUAAAUUUUUGUAAAAAUAAAAAAUUGGAGGUAGUGUUAAGAUAGAGAUACAUUCCGAGCGUGUAAUAAUUGGAGUAUGAAUAAUUGAGAGAAAUUUGAACGAAGGAGUACAAGAUUCGGUCAAGAAACGCAAUAUAUGCAAUAUGCGCCUAAAUAAAGGACAAGUGUGAGUUAAAUUGUGAGUGAGAUUCUUAAAGUUUUAUAAAGUUUAUAUAAAAAAAAAAAAAAAAAUGUUACGAUACGCCGCACGUCUUGUCGAAGAAUAUUUAUUCAUUGAAAUCUUCCGUCGCGAGCACAUCAUUGGAUUGACUUGAGUUAUCGAUUUAAUAUUUGCGCUGUCGACAUUGUAAUCGAACAAUCUGGACAUCGUCGUUUGGGAUACGUCUCGUUCUUAAGUAACAGAUGCAGUAAUAAACGUCAGCCUUAUAUUUGAAGGAUCUACCUUUGAAAGAUUACAAUGACGGCAAUUCUAUGAUAUUACGCGUUAAUAUUAUAAAAUUAAUAAGGCUCAUCGCUUUGAUCUAGAUACACAUGCGGUGCUGCGACACCGGUCUCUGUCAGAGCGCGUGGAAUCGCGCGGGUUCGAGCAAGAAUGAUAAGACUUUUGACUUACGAGUCGACGAAGAUGAGAAGAAAAGCACAAUCCUGAUUGCGGCUCCUGAUCGUCACAAGCUCCACGAGAUACCCUUGAUGUUAUCGGAGCUCGCUUCUCGUUCGCGAGAUACGGCGCAAGCCCUUCCGUUCGAUUCUCGCGAGUGAGCCUGUGAGCGAGACACGCACGCGGCGCGCGCUUGACACAGGUGCGUUUCUACGUGGAGUGCGAGAGGAAUGCCUGCCGCUCUUGUCGUCGUCGUCGUCGCCGAUAAUCGUCGUUGAAGCUGCCGUCUGGUAGCGCGAGAUCGAAGCUUCGAUUUGAUCCGCGAGCCCGUCAAAUAUUGACUGACGACGAUUAGGAGAUGACUGGGGGGCCAUGCUGGGCCCCCUUCUGCCAUAUUGGUAUCGGCCUCCCCCGAUCGUCCCCGCUUCAGUCACCUCUUCAUCGCGCUCUCGUCGUUACGAAAGCUGCAGUGAUAUGUAUUCUGUGAAUAUCCCUGAGAAACACAAUCUUAUCUCUCAUGAUACAAUUAAGUGUCAUUUACUAAAAAUUGAUUAAUUGUAUAUUGAUUAAUUAUAAUGAUGAUAGCGAAUUAUUUUCCGAUAGUUGUCGCAAUCGCGUGUCGAAGAGAAAUUUGACAAUAUACGAAACGUCUCGCAUUUUUUUAUUUGGGAUUUUUUCGAAUUAUAAUUUAUUAAAUAGUAUAUAUGACGUACAGAAAUAAAUAAUGCGUGUAGCGCGCACUUUGAUAUAUAUAUGCUAAUAUACUUACAAAAAUUUUUGGAAUUUUUGGAAUGGUGAUUUUUGGAAUUUUAAUUCAUGCCACUUUAUUCUAUUUUCCUGAUACUUUUUCAAUUUUCAAAAAUUUAUAUUUUAGCGAAUUGAUAAAUAAUGAUAUCGGUGCAAAUUUUAAUUAUCAAUGGUUGAUAAUUAUCAGAGAUUUGAUAAUUUUAAACUGAAAUAUUAGCAGUUCCCCUAUAUAAGUAUAAAGGAAAAUGUAUUUAUAUCUUGCGAUUUUACAAGAUGAAAGUUUUACCCUCGACGUUUUAUCUCUGUCGCUUAUUUUCGUUUAUAUAUAUUCAUGCGAUUCAUUAUUCUUUUAUCCCAAGUUAUUUUCGUAUAGUGAUGAGGGGAUCGGUUUACCUUGCCGUGUACAAGCGCGCGUCCGCGCGAUAUCUACAGGUAUACUCGACGGAUUAUCUCUUAUCUCACCUGCCUGCCAGGAGGGAGGGAUAUGAAGCUUUUGGGGUGGAGGACUGUUGUCAUGGUUACAAAGCAUACACUGAGCUAUCCACUAGAUAAGCGAAUCAGCUUCUAAGAUGAUAUUGACACAACCGUAGACCUCUCAAGGUGUCCAUUGUCCAGCAUAAUCUUAGGACCAGCUGGGCUACUCGAUGGACUGCCCAGGGUGACAAUAUGCGGCGAGGUGAGCUGAUGAUGAUCAGGUGAUUGACCAGCUGAGACCAUUCCGGGCGAACGCGUAGCACAAGGUUUGUGGUCGUGGGCUGAUAAGACACUAUCCUGCUCGGAGCCUGAGCACUGCCGUAGAUAUUGCUCGUGUAUGACACUUGCGGCACGCCGUGAGCCAUUCUCAGGUCGUUGUAAGUAUCUGUCAAUAAUAAAAUAA